CUUUCUCUGUAGACUAAGUAAUUGUCAAUAUAUAUAAAUCUUGGUUUUUACUUUUUGUACUUAAGAGGCGUUUGGUUUGGCAUAAAAAUUACUUUCGGUAUAAAAAAUACUUUUUUGUUUGUUUGGUUCGACGUAAAAAUAUUUUUACGAAUCAAGAAAAAACUGAAAUUUUUAUUUUUUGCUGUUUUCAGUAGAAAACGAAAAUUCAAACUGCCUAAAAAUUUUUUUCAUUUAAUUUUUUUCAGCAAACCAAACAAAUAUAAUUUUUUUUUUCCUUUCAAUCAAAUAAAUAUAAAUGAAAAACUACUUUUCUUUUCUACAAAUCAAACACUACAAAACGUAAAAAAAUUUUCUCCGAAAAAUUUUUUUUUUCGUGAAAAAUUAUUUUUCACGAUUUUACAUUGGACGAAACG
rnacentral:lncRNA from 1 species